rnacentral:lncRNA from 10 species
UAACACUCAAUAAAGCUCUUCUUUGUCUUGUUCACCUUCCACUUGUCUGCAUAGGCAGGAUUUGGCACCACUGGCAGUGACACUGUAACAUUUUGGGGGCUCAUCUGGGAUCUCCAAAAGGGUGAAGAAAGAGAGGAUUAAUGAGAAAAACAAAUUAGACGGCAUAGCCUAGAUGCAGAAAGUCUAACUCCAAAAUUCAUGAACCUUCCAAAAUUUACCAUGUUGUCCCUCUUCACUUGGAACUCUAGUGACACACAAAGAGUUUGAGGCCUGAGCACUCCUCAAUGAAAAGCUAACUGUUUGCAACACCUCCACAUUUGCCCCCAGUGAUAGGCCUUGGUAGCUUAACUGGUUGUGAUAUCAUAGGAAAUGACUGCAUGCAUGUAGAAGGAUGACAAAGAUGGAGAAUAACCAGAGUGCAUAAGAGGGUAAGAUGGAAGGUAUGAGGAAGUGGUGAUUACCAGAACAGAAAAGAGAGAAAAAGUCAAAAGGGAGAAAGGGGAGGAAAGCAAACUAAAUCUCAGGAAACAUUGUGAAAAAAUAGUGAGAAGUGAGAAACUCUUCCAGCAUAGUAACUGUAUUCAACAGGUAUGUCUAUGCUGU